rnacentral:rRNA from 1 species
AGCAGCCGCGGUAAUUCCAGCUCCAAUAGCGUAUAUUAAAGUUGCUGCAGUUAAAAGCUCGUAGUUGAAUUUCGGGAUUAUCAUGUCGGUCGUGUCUCGGUACGUACUGGCAUUGUUGGUUUCUACCUUCUGACGAACCAUGAUGUCAUUUAUUUGGUGUUAUGGGAAAUCAGGACUGUUACUUUGAAAAAAUUAGAGUGUUCAAAGCAGGCCUUUGCUCGAAUACGUUAGCAUGGAAUAAUAGAAUAGGACGUGCGGUCCUAUUUUGUUGGUUUCUAGGACCGCCGUAAUGAUUAAUAGGGACAGUCGGGGGCAUCAGUAUUCAAUUGUCAGAGGUGAAAUUCUUGGAUUUAUUGAAGACUAACUACUGCGAAAGCAUUUGCCAAAGGAUGUUUUCAUUAAUCAGUGAACGAAAGUUAGGGGAUCGAAGACGAUCAGAUACCGUCGUAGUCUUAACCAUAAACUAUGCCGACUAGGGAUCGGGCGGUGUUAUUAUUUUGACUCGCUCGGCACCUUACGAGAAACCAAAGUGUUUGGGUU